AGCUCUGCGCAGGGGCGGUAUCGCGGCCAGAGAGGUUUUCGGAGGCGCGAUCACUGCUAACAAACCUUUUCCCAGUGCCCGCCGUGACGGCUUGACAUACCGUCGGCACCGGCAAUUUUUGACGUCUCCGUGGAG